GACGAACGCUGGCGGCGUGCCUAAUACAUGCAAGUAGAACGCACAGUUUAUACCGUAGCUUGCUACACCAUAGACUGUGAGUUGCGAACGGGUGAGUAACGCGUAGGUAACCUGCCUGGUAGCGGGGGAUAACUAUUGGAAACGAUAGCUAAUACCGCAUAAUAUUAAUUAUUGCAUGAUAAUUAAUUGAAAGGUGCAAUUGCACCACUACCAGAUGGACCUGCGUUGUAUUAGCUAGUAGGUGAGGUAACGGCUCACCUAGGCGACGAUACAUAGCCGACCUGGGAGGGUGAUCGGCCAAACUGGGACGGGGACACGGCCCAGACUCCUAAGGGAGGCAGCAGUAGGGAAUCUUCGGCAAUGGAGGAAAGUCUGACCGAGCAACGCCGGGGGAGUGAAGAAGGGUUUCGGAUCGGAAAGCUCGGUUGUAAGGGAAGAAAGGGUGUGAGAGUGGAAAGUUCACACUGUGACGGUAUCUUACCAGAAAGGGACGGCUAACUACGUG
rnacentral:rRNA from 1 species